CUGCCGCGCUUCGCGCGGGAGAGGAAAGUCCGAACUCCGCAGGGCAGCGUGCUGGGUAACGCCCAGGCCCGGUGACGGGACGGAAAGUGCAACAGAGAGCAGACCGCCGCAGCCUGGCCGCGUCGACCGCCACCGGUCGGCGCCUCGCGUGCCGGGCCGCGGUAAGGGUGAAACGGUGCGGUAAGAGCGCACCAGCGCCGGCGGCGACGUCGGCGGCUCGGCAAACCCCACGCGGAGCAAGACCAAAUAGGGGAGCGCUUCGAGGCCGGCCCGGCCGAGGCUUCCGGGUAGGUUGCUGGAGGGCGGGAGCAAUCCCG
rnacentral:RNase_P_RNA from 1 species